rnacentral:rRNA from 1 species
AACGAACGCUGGCGGCAUGCCUAACACAUGCAAGUCGAACGAAGGCUUCGGCCUUAGUGGCGCACGGGUGCGUAACGCGUGGGAACCUGCCCCUCGGUUCGGAAUAACACAGAGAAAUUUGUGCUAAUACCGGAUGAUGACUUCGGUCCAAAGAUUUAUCGCCGAGGGAUGGGCCCGCGUAGGAUUAGCUUGUUGGUGGGGUAAUGGCCUACCAAGGCGACGAUCCUUAGCUGGUCUGAGAGGAUGAUCAGCCACACUGGGACUGAGACACGGCCCAGACUCCUACGGGAGGCAGCAGUGGGGAAUAUUGGACAAUGGGCGAAAGCCUGAUCCAGCAAUGCCGCGUGAGUGAUGAAGGCCUUAGGGUUGUAAAGCUCUUUUACCCGGGAUGAUAAUGACAGUACCGGGAGAAUAAGCUCCGGCUAACUCCGUGCCAGCCGCCGCAGUAACAC